rnacentral:rRNA from 1 species
AUUGAACGCUGGCGGCAUGCCUUACACAUGCAAGUCGAACGGCAGCGCGGGGCAACCUGGCGGCGAGUGGCGAACGGGUGAGUAAUAUAUCGGAACGUACCCUGGAGUGGGGGAUAACGUAGCGAAAGUUACGCUAAUACCGCAUAAGCUCUAAGGAGGAAAGCAGGGGACCGCAAGGCCUUGUGCUGCAGGAGCGGCCGAUAUCUGAUUAGCUAGUUGGUGGGGUAAAGGCCCACCAAGGCAUCGAUCAGUAGCUGGUCUGAGAGGACG